GGGCUUGUAGCUCAGCUAGGUAGAGCAAUCGGCUCUUAACCGAUUGGCCAGGGGUUCGAAUCCCCUCAAGCCCG
rfam:Thermoplasmatales archaeon SG8-52-1 WOR_8-12_679, whole genome shotgun sequence.